rnacentral:siRNA from 1 species
UUGUGGUGUUCUUGUUAUAUG